GAGUUUGAUCCUGGCUCAGGAUGAACGCUGGCGGCGUGCUUAACACAUGCAAGUCGAACGAUGGCAGCAAUGUCAUAGUGGCGCACGGGUGAGGAACACGUAGCUUAUCGUGCCCCGAAGUGUGGGAUAAACGCUCCGAAAGGAGUGCUAAUACCGCAUAAGCUCCCGGGUUAUAGAGACCUGAGAGAAAAGGCGCAAGUCGCUUUGGAGAGGCUGCGGCCCAUCAGGUACGUUGGUGCGGUAACGGCGCACCAAGCC
rnacentral:rRNA from 1 species